rfam:Klebsiella pneumoniae subsp. pneumoniae DSM 30104 Contig00013, whole genome shotgun sequence.
AACCCCCCGGAUUACGUCGAAACUUUGGUCGGUGUCCACGUAUAUCCAAGGGUCAAAAGCAGGCUGCGCGCCUGUAAGGAAGUAUACUGUAUGCGUACUCUACGUCAAUCCCCCCUGCCGACCCU